rnacentral:tRNA from 1 species
GUGGUUGUGGCUCAGUGAUGGAGCACUUACCUAGCAUGUGUGAAGCACUGGGUUCGAUUCCCAGCACCACA